ACGAGAUCCAGCCGCAUGUUUUGAUAUAUGUAUAUCGUGGGGGUGCACGCAGCGGUACGAGCCGCAUUAACGGUGAAAAGAAGUGGCAGUAACAAUGUCCUGGUGGAUAAGCCGCGGAGCUCACUGACAGCAGCCUCCGCUGGAACCAGGAGGAGCUGUGAUGUUGAUAGCUUGUUCUCUCGAUUACACGGACUUAAGAGAUGUUGGCGACGUUGGCGUUACUGGGAGAGUCUCCUGAUCUCAGUAUCUAAAAGGAUCCAUGAUGUCAAGGUUUCCAGGACUAUUUUAAAGGCAGCAGAUGCAUCAUAUCCCUCACCUGAAAGGCCAUGUUUUCUUAUCUUUCCCAUUUUGAAGAGAAAUAGCAGCCUCUGUAUCGUAUUUAUACAGCAUGUCAACUAAAAAGGGCAUACAUUUACAAUUAGGUUAAUAAAAACAACUCCAAUCAAUUUAAAAAUGAAAAAAAAAAAAAUCACUUAUGUGAUAGGAUUUGCAAGAAAUAAAAAAGAAUGUGAAGAAUGAGAUUGUGUGAAACAAUUUCUUUCUCUCUUCCAUUUGAAUAAAAUGAACUAAAAUUUUCCAAAACUUCAGAGUUGGGAGGAUGGCGCUUCAAUAACAGCAGCGUUUAUGAGCAGUCAACUUAUUUCGCCAAUUUGACCUGCAGAGGUUUUUGCAGCAGGUUGCUAUUUAAGUUUUAAAGGCAUUUGUAGCAAAAAUUUCCCAUUAAAAAGGAAGCUGUGUUGCUGAUUACAGAAUGUACAUAAAUAGUUUUUAUCUAGUGAAACAAAAAAAAUAUAAUAAUAAGCAAGGGUUGAUUAGAGUGACCUUAAGAGGCUCAAACAUCCCAAGGUUAAUUACAUUGUAAUUAGUUUGGGUAUUCUGAUUAAUGGUGCAUUUGUUAGGGAAUUAGCUCAGCUGAGGCACAAAAUGAAGUCCGUCUGAAGUUGUGUUUAGUAUAUAAAGUUUUCUUUUUUUUUCAGAAACUUGCAGCCUGAUGUUUUUGAUUAAGAAGCCUGCUGCACAAAGAAAAAAAGGGCUUGCUCCCUAUUUGUGGGGGGGGAAAAAAAUUAAAAAUAAAAAUAUUAAAAGCAACAUCAGCUAAAGCUCCAGGAUGAACUUCUUCAGGCCUGUUGGUGCAUUUCUCUGUAAAGUUUGAUGGUUUUCUCAACAUUUUACACAGCUUUGCACAAAUACAUUGUUGUGGUGUUCCCUUAAACUUCACUGUCAUUGGGUUUUGCAAUUAUUGGAGAGCGUUUGGUUUUUAUAAAUGUCCAAUAUAAGAUAAAACAGAAUCUUUCUCUCUUGAACAAUCCUCUUAGCUUUCUUUUCCUGUGGAAUUUCUUCAAUAAUUCUUGAGGGAUAAUGUAGUUUCUUGUUGUGGAUGGAUUCUUAAUACCUUGGCUGCUUUUCAUUUUUAGUUCUCUCAAACUGACGAGGUCACGCAAGGAGAUUUAUUUCCCCAAUUCUACGGCAUAUUUGCUCUGGAAAGGGAGACUGCUGCCAUUCAAAUAUAUUCCAUAUCAUCCCGGAUCAACAUUUGACAGAACUUCUCUGUGCUCACGAGUCCAUCAUUUCUGACACGAUCCCUAACACCGACUGAAAUGCGGCCCAAUUCAUGACAGAAAGUCCUUGUGUAAUUUGACAUACUCCGCCUCCACCCAUCCACCACCAUCCUUCCCGUUCCUUUAGAAUCACUUUUUGACAGCUAAUCGUCCAGUGAGACCAUUUAUGAUGAGGCUUUGGCAGACUGAAGAUGGAUGAACUGAAGGAUGACCCAGCUCUCAGGUUGUGUCAGACCUUUGCUGGAUUUUCUUCUUCUUCCUCUUCUUCAUCUUAAGGAUCUGAUGUUUUAACUAUUUCUUUUCCGCUAUGGAAAGAGAAAACGUCUCCUAAAAUCCACCAACUUACGUACUUUUAAAGCAAUCGCCAACUUUUCUGUUAAACUUGGUUGGAACAAGAACAUCUUUGAACAAAAUUGUUUAAAAUUAAAUGGGUUACGUGUAAAUGAGCAGAAAACUGUCAGUAUUCCAAGAAUCAUUUGAAACCUGGGGAACUGUUGCUUUAGACAACGUUGGAAGAUUAUAUUAAAGUCUGCUAAUCAGAAAGAAAACUCCUAUGUCUAAUAAACCUCUAAGAUUUAAAUCAGUCUGACAGAGCUUGAGCUGUUUUACAAAAAGUUUCCUCUCUUGGAUGAAAACCUUCAGCUGUAAUUGGAGCAAAAGUAUCUUUUGUCUUCCACUUCAUAUUUCUAUAUUUUAUUUUGGUUUCAAAAUAAACUGAAGUUUCUGGUUUUAAUGUGACAAACUGGAAAAAAUUGAGGGGCAUACAUGGUUUUGCAAGCCACUGUAAGUAAAUG